AUUGAACGCUGGCGGCAGGCUUAACACAUGCAAGUCGAGCGGAGACUUCGGUCUUAGCGGCGAACGGGUGAGUAAUACCUAGGAAUCUGCCUAUUAGGUGGGGGAUAACGAAUCGAAAGGUUCGCUAAUACCGCAUACGUCCUACGGGAGGAAAGGGGGGGAUCUUCGGACCUCUCGCUAAUAGAUGAGCCUAGGCCGGAUUAGCUAGUUGGUAGGGUAAAGGCCUACCAAGGCGACGAUCUGUAGCUGGUCUGAGAGGAUGGCCAGCCACACUGGAACUGAGACACGGUCCAGACUCCUACGGGAGGCAGCAGUGGGGAAUAUUGGACAAUGGGGGCAACCCUGAUCCAGCCAUGCCGCGUGUGUGAAGAAGGCCUCGGUUGUAAG
rnacentral:rRNA from 1 species